rnacentral:misc_RNA from 1 species
GAUGAAGAACGCAGCGAAAUGCGAUACGUAAUGUGAAUUGCAAAUUCAGUGAAUCAUUGAGUCUUUGAACGCACAUUGCGCCCCCUGGUAUUCCGGGGGGCAUGCCUGUCCGAGCGUCAUUGCUGCCCUCAAGCACGGCUUGUGUGUUGGGCCCCGUCCUCCGAUCCCGGGGGACGGGCCCGAAAGGCAGCGGCGGCACCGCGUCCGGUCCUCGAGCGUAUGGGGCUUUGUCACCCGCUCUGUAGGCCCGGCCGGCGCUUGCCGAUCAACCCAAAUUUUUAUCCAGGUUGACCUCGGAUCAGGUAGGGAUACCCGCUGAACUUAAGCAUAUCAAUAAGCGGAGGA